rnacentral:rRNA from 1 species
AAGUCGUAACAAGGUCUCCGUUGGUGAACCAGCGGAGGGAUCAUUACUGAGUGAAAACUCCAAACCCGUGGACAUACCUGUUGCCUCGGCGCCCCUACACUGCUUGUGGAAGGGCGCCGAAGGACCACUAAACUCUGUUUUUUACUGAGUCUGAACUAUAACAAAUCGUUAAAACUUUCAACAACGGAUCUCUUGGUUCUGGCAUCGAUGAAGAACGCAGCGAAAUGCGAUAAGUAAUGUGAAUUGCAGAAUUCAGUGAAUCAUCGAAUCUUUGAACGCACAUUGCGCCCCCCAGCAUUCUGGAGGGCAUGCCUGUUCGAGCGUCAUUUCAACCCUUGAGCCCUGUCGCUCAGUGUUAGGAGACUACAGCGUAGCUCCCUAAAUCUAUCGGCGGAGUCGUUCUCACUCUAGAUGCAGUAAAUCUCUCGUCUACAGUGGGUUCGCCCCCUGCCGUAAAACCCUAUAUUUCAAUGGUUGACCUCGGAUCAGGUAGGAAUACCCGCCGAACUUAA